rnacentral:rRNA from 1 species
ACAGCGAGGAAGCGAAUCGCGAGGUGGAGCCAAUCCUAGAAAAGCCGGUCUCAGUUCGGAUUGUAGGCUGCAACUCGCCUACAUGAAGUCGGAAUUGCUAGUAAUCGCGGAUCAGCAUGCCGCGGUGAAUACGUUCCCGGGUCUUGUACACACCGCCCGUCACACCACGAGAGUUUACAACACCCGAAGUCGGUGGGGUAACCCGCAAGGGAGCCAGCCGCCGAAGGUGGGGUAGAUGAUUGGGGUGAAGUCGUAACAAGGUAGCCGUAUCGGAAGGUGCGGUUGGAUCACCUCCU